CCCUAACCCUAAUACCUCUAAUUGUGAUAGCCGCUAGAGAGAAACCCUAAGAGCUUGGAAGAGUCCAUCGUUAACCUAGGAGGGAACCCGAUGGCCAAAAGCAAGCAAGGUUCCAUCGAUUUCUUGUCGGUUUGAGGGCAUAUAUAAAGGAAUAAAUUUGGGGAAUCGAUAAGUUUUGUGAAGUUUAAGGUAAUCAAGGGGAUGCUAGGUUUUGUGACAGAGAGUAG